rnacentral:lncRNA from 1 species
GUCGGGGUUCGUGAGAAAUCGAUCGAAAAUCUAAUGUAAAUAUUGGCUUUUGAUUGAGAGGUCUGCGUUCCAUUUAAUGAAUGGGCGAUGAAAAUUUAUUGAUUCAAUUUAUAUAUUUUGUUAUAUAGGUAGUUAAUUUGAUGAAUGGUAAUCAUCUUCCCCCAAACGAAGCCCAAAAUUAACAUAAUCCAUGGAUGCGCAUGAGCCCUGCGCAGGUGCCCGCCGACAAAGAAGACCCUGGACCAAUCGAUAUCGAGUCAGAACACAGGCGAGAAGAGAAAAUGGCCACAACUCAUUGAACCCGCAGUUGCAAAUUACACUUUAAAUUACUAACUUGAACAAAAUUGCACUUCUUAAAGCAUAAUAUUUGUAAGUAUUCACACAUAUUUCUGUCGACUUAUGUUGUAAAUGCAUGCAAACGGCUGGACCGUUGAACCUGUGUUAAUAUUGUCAAAAAUGCUUUGUGUUUAUCCGCCAUAUUUCCGGAGAAAAUGUGGGGCAAAAUUAUGUGAAAGUUAAAAUUAUGUGUCCAUAUUAUAAGAUGACAAUAACAACUAUGAUAAAUGUUUGCUAUCCGAAUAACAUAGUUAUUUUAUUGUAAUUCAUUGUUGGUAGACCAAAAGUUAAUGAAAAGGGGGAGUGAAAAACUUCACUGAUUUGUUUUGCCUUUUUAGAACUGGCAUUUGUCUCUUUGCUUUAUAAGACUCUUUCACAUUUUGACAUGUUGAAUGCACUGUCCAAUUUUCCAAGUUAUCUAUGUUGUGUUUCUAUGAUCCAGUGAUCUGGAAGGUUUUCUCACUGUGGCAGGGCCCCUCAAAAAUAAAUUCUAUUUGAAUUGAGCUCUGUUAAAAAAAAAAUAAAAGUAUCAGUAUAUUUUGGCAAAAAUACCUUUAAUAUGUUUAUGAUUUUAAAUAAUAGCAUGAUAUUGUUCCUGUGAUUUUGUAAUUUCAAUGAAUAUACAAUAACUUCUUCCAAACCGGACAAUAAUUAAGUUAACCUUUAUUUACAAUGUUUAAACUGGUACUGUUGCCUUUGUUCAUGUUUAUUUUGUACAUUAAAUUUGGGUCUUUGUCGAUACCAUACUUACUCCAGACGCUCCGUAUUAGAGGACAUUUCAGGCAUUUCCUUUGCACUUCUUGUAUUAUUUUUUAUAACUUCAUCACGGUGACAAGAAUAGCAGUAGAGAGUUCUAUUAAUUCAUAGAAUAAAACAACAAUUCGCUGAAGUCAUGUUUACAAAAUGUCAAAUCGAGCGAAAGACCAAAAAAUGACAAGGACAGUUGAGCAUCUUUUAUAGAGAAAAACUAUAUUCAUAAAAAAUCUUUGGGGUUUUUCAAUCUAUUUAAUUGCAAGCUAAACUAAAUGAGAUUAUUAUUAGUGAAAUCUUGUUUGUACUAGCCAAAUUUCACAAAUUUAAAGUGGUUUAUAAAAAAUUAUAUAAUGAAUCAUGGUAAAUUACAUUUGUUGGGGUUAUUAGUUAGACCGCAUGGUUCUAUUAUUACCGUAGGAAAACACCCGAGACGCUGAACCGCAUGGUUCUAUUAUCAUAGGAAAACACCCAAGAUGGCCCAAAAAUAUAUAGGUGCUCCUAUUGGAGGAACAUUACACAGUUGUGUACACACACAUAGCAGCACGGAACAGGAUCAGAAAUCCAUUUGACGAUAUCUAAACGUUUUGAAAGUGAGUCAAACAAAGUGAAAAAUAUCGUGCGCCAUGUGGGCGCUUACAUUUGUCACUAUGCGCCAUUUCUUAUAAAUAGGCGUAGGGCGACCGUCCUUCCCGAUCACUGUGAUCUCUAGCCCGCCCAAGGCGAGAGAUUCCAAACACCCAAGGCCAGUGACAUUUUACUGCAAAUUCCAAUACCAAAAUAAAAUUCCAUUUAAGGUGGCUCUGGCCUAUUCAAAGUUUCUAUCAGAAGUGCCGUAUAUUUUUGUUAUUUUAUUCUUUACAGAAAGUGAAUCAAAUUGGUUGAAAAAAAUAGUGGGUCACGGAACAUUUAAGCUCAAAUUUUACUUUUGAAUAGGUGUGUAAAAGGGACCAUUUUUCAAUGAAAGGAUAGGGAAAAAAAGGGGUUGACAUAUUUUUAUCGGAAUAUCAAAAGAACGUUCUAUGACACCAAAAUUGAAAUUUAGAAAGCUGACAUAUAGCUUCAAAGAAUGCGCAAAUAAAAAACAUAGGUCACAGAUAAGGAAAAAAAAAAAAUUUUGCCUUAAACCCAAAUUUUGGCGGGAAAAUGGUGAAAAUGGGUGAAAUGUCAUUUUGAGCCUUUCACAGAUACACAUAAUAUUCUUUUAGUGACAUACAAUGUAACUACAAUGAUUUAACAUUUCUAAUCAAUAAAAAUAUUAAAUUAAAAAAAUAAUAUCAAAUUUACAACACAUACUUUUCGUGUGCAUUGUCAUUCAUGCAUGAAAUUAUGUGCAGUCGAAUACUCCUGAUCCCCUUUAAAGACUAAUUUUCUUUAUUUUUGAUCCCAUUCAAAUUCUGUUUUGUUUCCAUUUUAAGCUCACCUGGCCCAAAGGGCCAAGUGAGCUUUUCUCAUCACUUGGCGUCUGUCGUUAACUUUUACAAAAAUCUUCCCCUCUAAAACUACUGGGCCAAAUUUAUCCAAACUUGGCCACAAUCAUUAUUGGGGUAUCUGGUUUAAAAAAUGUGUUUGGUGACCCGCCCAACCAACCAAGACGACUGCCAUGGCUAAAAAUAGAACAUAGGGGUAAAAUGAAGAUUUUUGCUUAUAACUCUGAAACCAGAGCAUUUAGAGCAAAUCUGACAUGGGGUUAAAUUGUUAUUCAAGUCAAGAUCUAUCUACCCUGAAAUUUUCAGACAAAUUGGACAACCGGUUAUUGGGUUGCUGCCCCUGAAUUGGCAAUUUUAAGGAAAUUAUUAUCUUGAAUAUUAUUAUAGAGAGAUAAACUGUAAACAGCAAUAAUGUUCAGCAAAGUAAGAUCUACAAAUAAGUCAACAUGACCAAAAUUGUCGGUUGACCCCUUAAGGAGUUAUUGUCCUCUUUAAAGUCAAUUUUUUACAAUUUUUCUUAAAUUUUUGUCAUUGUUACUAAAAUCUUUUCUCUGAAACUAGUAAGACAAAUUUAACCAAACUUGUCCACAAUCAUCAUUAGGGUAUCUAGUUUAAAAAAAUGUGUCGGUUGACCCUGCCAGCCUUAUCCUCUUUUGUGUAUUGACCAAAAACUAAAGAAGUUAGAAACUAAACUGGCUAAAUGAUAAGCAAUACAAGAUCAUCUAAACUGAUUUUUUCAUGAAUUCUACUCUUGUCUAGCUACAAUGUUGGAGAGUGUCCGUUGUUGAAUAUGCACAUAGACCAAGGUGAGCGACACUGGCUCUUUAGAGCCUCUAGUUUUAUUUACAGUUAUAGGCUAAGUAAUAAAAAAUUAUUAAUAUAAUUUUUUCCAUUCAAAUUCCAGAAGAUAUCUAUUGAUUUGGUGAAUUAUGCAAAUGAGAUGUAUUUAUUAACAAUGUUAGAAGGGUAUCAAACUAAUGUUAUUCAUGAAAUAGAUAAAACGUCAUUUAAUGACAUUAUUAAAUUUCUAGUGACUCCUUUCAUAUCAGAAAUGAGUCAUGGUAAACUCACUUAAUCAUCAUUCUGAUUUAAGAUGAGCAUUUAUUUAAAUUUAAUAAAUCAAAAACCCUUUUUAAAUCAAAAUGAAGCAUCAAAUUUUGAUUCUAUCAGUAAAUGUAAGAUAACUAAAAUUAAAAUUGCAUAAUGCAGAGUUGUUUUGCCAAGGUCUGCAUAUAAGAGGGGAUUCAUUAUUUUUCGUGGGAAACCAAAUUUUUGUGGAUUUCGUCGUUACUAUCAGGAUUCAGCUUGUUAAUGUUUGGAUUAAGAACUUCAAAAAAAUCGGGAGCCAACAUUGAAAGAUUUUACUACAGAUUAAGGGCAAUAUUAAUUUUUCCCUGAAGCUUCUCUAGAGCGAAAUGGUGAGACAGUCACUUUAUUUGCCCAGUGUGGUGAUCCCUGGAAGACUAAGUUUCAGAUUUGAUGGAUUUGAAUGGUCAAAGAUGAAUUCUUUAUUUUCUACAUUUAUUUUUAGAAAGCAUCAAAGAUGAAUCAGUACCAGAAGGUUUAUAUGAACCAGAUACAUUCCAGUUCUUUACUGGGACAGUUAGCACAGAUGUGGAAAAGUCAGAUGUUAUGUGAUGCACUAAUAAGGACAGGAAAUGUCACCACAAAGGUAACCUUGUAGUUACUGUACUGUAAACCAACAAUUUUUCUACAG